AUAUAUAUAUAUAUAAAUACUCGUAUAUUUAGACAGCCGACAAGUUGCUGUGCGCCACUCGAACUGAUUGAAUCAUACGCGGGAAUCGGAAAUUUCAGAUCGCAGAUUUACGACCGCCACCAAAACACUCCACAAAAAUCAACCAAGAAAAAAAAUAAAAAAACAAAAAAAACCAUUAACCAUAAACAACACUUCACUUCAGCUCAGUCCACUCAGUUCACUUGCUGCGGUGUCCAGCUUCCCUCGAAUUCAAAGCCAGAGUUUCUGUUUCUGGCCAACUGACGCCCAGUGGAGCGUAUUGUGAUGGCCAAAAGUAUCAUGGCCGAAAUGAAACCACCGAUCGUGGUCGAAAGCCAUCUGAAUUACAAAGGAAUUUGGAGCGACAGCUUCGAGUUCAGUUCUCGAAGCGAUUGUGUAAUUGUUCAACUGGCAACGGAUAAAUCAACCCAAGGCAGCCCUAUAAACCAUAAACACACUACAGAUAGCUCCGCAGUUGAGAAGCAGCUGGAAAAGGUUCCCAUGGAUCUUUAGAGUCCUUGGGUUUUGUUUAAAAGCAACUAACUUAAUUCCAGUGUAAAGCCAUAAUAACAACAACAACAAAGAUGUGACUUAUCGCCUUCGGUUGCUGGAAAUUCAUUUCCUGGCAGCGACACCUAACACCUAAUUAAGUGCACUGCACUUGAGGGAUGAGUAAUAAAGUUUCAGUUAAGAUCGUUGUUAAUCGCGAACUUCGGAAGUGAGUUAGUCACGCGAUCACGACGCUGCAUACAACUUAACUAGCAUAUUUUAUGCUAAAUACAUAAAACUAUCACGGCCAUUGAAUUGCGUCACUAGCGUUCGUUUUACAUUCGCUGAAUUCGAUAAACAAAAUUCAAUGGAAAUAACAUUUUAUUCAGAAUCUGAACAGCUAUAGUAGGUACUUUCUGAGCUUUCUGACUGAAGAAGUAUUUCAUAAAUACUUUGACUACCUUUGAUUUACAUACCGAAUCAGUUGAUAACCUCAACUAUGCGCAGUUUUUCCAAGAAGCAAUUAAAAAGCUAAAACAAGGACACGACGCGCACUAAAAAACAAUGGCAAUCACAGGUAAUAAGUAUUAACAGUGUGGCUGUAAAAACGAUUACUCAAACGAGUUAACUGCUAAUGCGCAUCGGCAAAUUGUCAACUGCUGGAGAGUGGGGCCUAAAAUUACACAGCGAGAAAAGGGUGAGAGAUUCGUGCCAUUCAAGUUGAAUAUAAGCUUUGAUGUAUUAGCGAAAUGUCAAGCUGAUUUGCAUGGCUACAGUGUUGAUUGUAUGAUAUUUUCCAAAACAUCAUGCAGAUAAAGCCGAAAUUAAUUGAUAGCAGCAUGCUGAUAAGGUUUUUAGAUACGAGUCCAUAAACUGCAAGAUGUGAUUUUUCGUAAUUAACACAUAAUCAGUCAUGAUUGCACGACCAUUUUCGCUCUGUGUAGCAAAUGCCUAUGGCAUUUCGAGUGGGUUUCGUGGUGCGUGACAAUGGACGGGAUUAGGCCGCUCAAUAAAGACGAACUUAAGGCAAGGCCAAGGGGCACUAUCUGAACGGACCCUGGGGCGUAUGCGUAAUAUACUUAUCUAUCUGUAGUGUAUGACAUGUAGGUAUAGGUAUGAUGUGUAGCUACAUAUCUAUAUACAUAGAUACAUAUUACAGUUGACAUUUGGGGGCAAGUCAUGGUGCGAUAAUAAUGGCAAAAGGCAUUGAAAAGCAUUGAUUGCUUUUCGCACGCCGCUAUCAAACAGCAAACAGUCGUAACUGAUCGUGAGAUGCGUGUGAGAAAGAGAGGGGGGUAUGGGGGCGCAAGUACAGGAAACACUAAAUGCAAUGGCAAAGAAAGAGUUAACCUUAAACUCCAGUUCAUAUCGAUUGCCAGCCAGCUACUUUCCAAAAUUAAUUUCCUCGAAGCGAGUCAUCACUGUACAGCCAACGCGUGAGUCACGUUCAUAGUUCGUGAGAUAUUUCUGCAUUCUCAUGCUGAUGGAUCAGGAAAGUGAAGUGAUAUGAUAUUUAGUUUUUCGGCUGCCUCUCACACUCUUUCGCUCCUUUUUCAGUUCUCCUCUUCCCUCUUUUUUUAUCCCCACCCCAUCCGCAGUGACGUCAGUUGGAAACUUUGCAUAUUGUGGUGAAAUUACUUAUUAAUUAUUCCAUUUCUUUGGCGGGGAUCUCUUCUCCUCGUGCGUAGCUGCCUGGAGAGGAAUACCCCAUUGGAGCUCGGUCAGACGCGGCGUAUGAGCAAUGCGCUCGCGUGCUCUAUGACGUCACAGUUGCCGGCAAACAGUGACUGGGCAAACCGCAGCCAACAGCGGUGCCUUAUAUCGGUGAUUAGGCACCCAUUGCAGCUAUACAUUUUUCGAUUGGUCAUGCCAAGUGGGAGAAUAUUAGAAUGCCAGAAGUUUCCAUCCAAGGUCGCCCAUUUUUUACCACCCGAAAAUCAAGUAUAUACAUAUGUAUUUUACAAACAUCAGAUGAGGGAAAAAUGGGUGUAAAUCGCAUGCACAUACAAAUGAACUAAUGUCAAGGCUGUGACCACAACAACCACACACACACACACCGGCAAGUACAACUACAAAGUACAACAAAGUCCGGCGGAUACUUAAAAUCGAAUUGCCCGGUAAUUACGAGCGGCAGCAAACAUAGAAAAUCAAUACAAAAACGCCGCCCUGAUAAUUACGCAUUUACAAAAUGUACCUAUAGACACAAUUAUUAACAACGUGGGCCAUUAAAAUAGUGAGCAUAGCUUUGAAAAAUAGGCAGUUAAUCGAGAAAUUAUAUUUGCUUCCCGGGAAGUUUACAUCAUGUUCCAUGUGAAUCAUCAUAAAGUGGUUUGCUUAUUACAUGAUCACUCAUUAUAGUUUUAUAUAUAAUUUAAAAAAAAAUAAAUUUUUUUAAGCUCCUAAUAUUUUGUCAACAACUGUGGGCCUAGCGGAGCCCAAGGCCAUGCCACUUUGACCCCCUUUGAGCGGAAUCAUUAUAAAAGCUGCAGCGUCACUAGUGUUAAAUGAAAUACCAGUAACAGCAACAACAUCAACGAGGGAGAAAGGAAAACACCAACAGCAACAACAAAUUGCCGGCAAAAAAAGGGAAGGCGCAAACGCACACACGCGCAAACAAAAACAACGGUAGACGCGCGCGCUGACGUUCCAAUUAGAAUAUGCGGCCAUUCGCUGGUGUCCUCUCAGCUGUUGCGUUGUCCAAUCGGAAUGAUUGUUAUACAAUUUAUUACCAUAACAAAGGCAAAAAGAGCUAUUAUCACACAAAAUAAACCAAAUGCCGAUAUGGUUUUGGGUUGUAUUGAAAAAGUAGGCUACAAAAUAUGUCUUAACAGAAGCCCCCCUCACAGAAAUGCGGAUACGCCACUGCAAACGCUAAUGAAUGUGUUCCACAGGUCUUUUUUCGUUAGUUUCCUAUAUACAUAUGUUAAAACUAACAUCUAAUAUCUAACAACUCGCGAUUAAGACAUUAGAAUUGUAAUUCUUAUAUGCAAACAUACUAUGUAUUUCAAAAAGAUUACCAUUUUCAUU